CUUUUUCAGAGAAAACUAUUUGAUUUUUUUCUCAUUCAUACUUUCAGGCUGUUGAUGGUACCUAUUACAAAGAUACAAAGUCCCAACACAUAAAAGAUAAGUAACACCUACUCUGUAUUCAAUACUGGGUUGGAAACAAUUCACACAAACACAGUUUGACUAUCCCUUCACCAAAACUGAGCUACAUUUUCCCAACAUAGCUUUGCAAUUUCCCAACAAAAAUCUCCCCCCCCCUUCUUUUUUUUUUUACUAGCUCUUCAGUGAUACUAUGCUGAGUGCAGACUUAUCUACUUGGCACUCAUUCUUUACAGAUACUUGCUACUAACAUUAAGAUUUCUAAAUUACAAAAGUCUUCCAGGGACUUUAUGGGAUCAAGCUAAAAAAUGUAAUUUCCAAUUUCUAUUAUGAUGUGCUAAAAUACAUUAAGAUUGGUCAGGCAGUUUCUUUUUUCGGAAGGUGGGAAUGAGAGGCAAGAGAUGGGAUAUUGAUUUGGGGUUUCAGAUGAAACAACAUUAUAAGAACUCAACCCUUGUGCUCCCUACGUAUGUCCACAGUAAUACGAUCUGGCUAAACAAGUUUUAAGCGAUAAUCUCUUUGGUCUUUAGUGCCAACAGAGGAGAGCGAAGCAGCAAGAUAAGUUCCUGCAAACCCAUUCACUGCAAACACAUAAAAGAUGCGAUUUCAACAGCCGAAGGUAUGGCAUCAACUGGGGAGAUCUAGCUUGACUUUCAGAUCCUAAACUAAAACUGGAAGGAGAAGACCCCUCAAGACCAUUCCCUAAGCAUACAGUACCGCUACAACAGCAGCCGGUGAGAAACACCACGCACCAAACAUCCCAGUACCGUUUUCUCGUCUUUCUUUUAAGCUAAAGCACAUUCGAACAUACAGCUAAGAGGAAGCAGUUUUAACUUGGAAGACGCUCCAGGAGUUACUCUCCUAGAAAAAAAGCAGUGUAAGAAGGAAUACCCAGAGGCCACAUUGUCUCUCCUAAGUCAAGGCUGCCGCCUUGGCUUGAAACACCGACUGCAGACUUUGAUCGGCAAAUUUUACACGCUCUCUGGCACGAAACAGCCAGACGGCACCCGAGCCCUCGAGAUCAUAGCCGGAGCGGGGCAAAGCGGCAAGAGAAUCAUUUACGAGCCUGUUGAAAAGUGAAAUAAAAUCUGAUAGGUCAGCAAAACAGGAAAUACGAACGUGUGGACGUAACACCCAGAGGACACAGCCGAACAGCGCUACAAGAACCAGAGUCAGGGUGUCAUAUCUGUACUGCCAGACCACCCGGACAAGUUCAGGUCAUGGAGAUUUCAAAGGCAGGACUUCAAAAGAAAAGCAUUUAUGUUUUCCAUAUAAAGUGUUGAAGACAGCGGAACAAGUUUGGCAAACAAAGUGGUGCCACGAGAUGCUCAAAGGUAUCUCUGUACCCUUUCUUGAAGUCCACUGAUAAGGCCUAACUGCGAAUUGGAGCAGACUGGGGAGCUGGCAAGGACUUCCAGCGGGGCAUCCAAAUAGCUGAAAAUGGCUCGAUGCAGCUCACACCCUAUGGGCUUAAGAGAAGAACCUGAAUCAUGUCAGUAGGCCUUACGGAUCUUUGGCACUGAUGUAGAGGCCUGCCACUCAUCGUGAUGUGCAACUGACACAAUCACUUCACCCAAGUAUGUGCUGCAGUCCUGUCUCGAGUCUGUGACUCCAGCACACUGGCUACUACCUUGAUCCCGUAGGAGACUCGGUCCGUAGAAGCAGUCAAACCAUAAUCUGUUACGUUUCUAGAUCGGUCCCAGAUGUCCCCAGACAUCUGCAGAGCUCUGAAAAGCAGUGGGCAAUAGUUGCUUCUCUUCUUUGAAUUACAUAAUCAGUGAUUAAAAUAAUGUCAUGUAGAUACUCUGUAUAAGACCAGCCUCUCAAAAUAUUGUAGGGUGAAACAGCAAGGAAUUCCUUCAAGUUCUAUUAAUAAAAAGUUGGUAAAUGUUUUAUCCCUUUCCCCAACUUAUUUAAAGGUGUUUAAAAAGAAAAAACAACAACAACAACAAAAAAAACCAAACCACAAAACAACCUUUUUCCCUAUGAAAAGUUUAUACAAGAGGGAAAGAUCUGAUCUGAUUUACAUUGUCUUGGGUUUGGGGAAUUUUUUCGUUGGAAAUUUGGAUUCCAAAAGUUUAUGUAAAAUGAGCUAUUUCUGUUUGGAAGUGCUAUCAUGCAGGCUCGAGAGAAUGUACUGUUAGUGCCUCAUGUUUCCAUUUUCCUCUAUAGGGUAAGUACCUUGAUCUUGUAUCUUUCUUCUUGGAGAGGAGAAAUGGUGCACAGAUCCCAUAUCUGUCUUGGCCUCCCUCCUUUCCUCCCUAUUUCUUCUUUUCAUUAUCAAGUGUUCCGCUGGGUUUAAAAUCCACCUUCUCCUAUCAAAGUGUUAGUGAAAAUAAAAUAAAAUUUACUUUUAUAAACGCACGAUAGAGUCUAGUGGUCUAGUAAAAGACAAUCUUACCUAUAAUGUGAAUAAUUUGGGAAAAUUUAAAACGUGCUGAAUUACCCUUAAUAGGCUGCUGUGCAAUAGUAGAUUGAGGAGGCAUAGCACAAACUCAUCAGUUCUGCCCUGGAAGAACUAAUAUGAAGAAGGGUUGGAGUAGAAUAAAUACACUGUGCUUUAUAAGAAGAAAAAACAAAGAAAGGUUGUUAGUAUAAUUUGAAAUAAGUCAUGGGUUUAUGCAUCCUUGUUCCCACUGAUAAGAAGAAUAUGUAAAAAAUCUACCUUAGAAUGUGUAAGCAGGAAAGGAACUCUCUCUCUCACUAUGUAUUUACCAAAAGGGAAAGAAAGCUCGUUCCAGCCUCCCUACGUCUGUAGAUGUGCUGUUAGUCACGUUUUAAAUGUCAUAUGGAUCAAGAAAGUUGGGGGUGGUGUAAAAUGGGGCAAGGAAAAAACUUCAAGCCUGUCACUGAAGUGGAAGUCCUUGUAUGAAGAAGGACUGUGAGUCACGUUAGCCCGCUAGCGUUCCGCUCAGCGAUUGAUUUUCUGCUUUGGGCCGGCUUGACUCCCAGACCGUGUCUCUACUGCUGAAUUAAGCGUGGCUGCAAGACAGUGCUCCAGUACUGAAGCCGGCCAGGGCUGUAAGAGCCCACAUCCGUGCUCUUGGCAUCCAGAACGCGGGGACUACACCAAACUGCUGGUUGAAUAGUCCCUGGCCCAGGCUGACUUCCAGAUCAGCUCUGGAAAUUUUUUAAGAGAGGUAAGUGGCCUGGGCCAGGGAUCAAUCCAGCAAUUUGCCAGUAGACUCAGAGGAAUGUCCAGCAAUAUUUCCUUGGGCACCAUUGAUUACUGGCCUAUAUGUAGCCCUGUAGACUCCAGACCAAUCCAGCUAUGCACCCGUGUAGGUAGCUGCUGACCAUUGCUUGGAUUGCAUUCAGGAGCAAGAAGUGCCACAAACCAUAGAGGACAGUGGCUCUGGGCAGUAAAUCAAACUUUGUCACGGCCACUGAAAACAGACAGCAGACUUCACUCUAUGUUUUUAUAUAUUCCUUAAUCUUAUCGUUGCUGAGCACUUUCUACAGUAUGCUUGAACCCCAAAGCAGAGCAGUAAUAGAAGAAUACUAGUUAGUCAUGAAAGCGUAAGUGCCACAGCCAGAGCAGUAAUUUGAGAGAGAACACAAGGAACACCUGGGUUCAUUCAAUUAAAAAAAAAAAAAAAAAAAAAAAAGGAAAAAAAGUAGAGAAAAAUAAUUUUGUAUAAAAAUAGGUUUACAAGGAUUUAAAUUCUUCAUAGGAGAACAGGGAAGGAGAGAGCAAAGAAACAUGUGGCUUUUUUGAAUGAGUCAGGGUUUUGGAAACUUGUUCUCAAUUUGUUGACACAGUAAAAGGUCUUUUCUCCAGAAACUCCAGCAUUUACAUGGUCACUGCUUGCAUUGUUUUUCUGUAUUUUAUUUCUUCCUCAAGGGAUUAUCACUAAGUAGUUAAAGUCCAAAUUGUUAACCUGCUUUGCAAUAAUGUAGCAAUUUUUAAACAAGUAGUGAAGAGUGGAUUGUAAAAAAUGAGAACCAAGUCACACAGUCAUUCUUCACACAAUGUUGUUGGAGAAAAAAAAGCCAAACCAAAACAAAACCCCAGAAAAUAAAAGCAGUAUGUUUUGGCAUUCAUUUUGCAUUGUUUCUUUUCUUAUUGUAACCUACGAUUUUAGAGAAAUCCAUAUUGACCUAUGUAAGAAGAAUAUUUACAAAUUUUAUUCUGAGGAAUGUGCUCUUCAUGUGAUAAAGACGGUUUGCUUUUGUUUGUUUGUUCAAAGAAAAAUAAUAUAGGAAAUAAAUGUUACUUUCAAGUAUGAAACAA